AGUAAAUGUCCAAUGUAACAGCAUAAAUAGGUCGGAGAAGCACAGCACAUUCACAAGGCCAGUCUGGUGAGUUUUUAAAGCUGCAACUGUGGACCCUGCGCAGACAGCCACGACAAACAGGCUUCACUUCUUUUAUGUAUACUGUCCGGACAAUAAGUCGGUGAUGAUCGGUGGAGAGCAUCGCUUUGUGAUUUAAGCGGCUUUAAGAUGACGUGAGCUGGAGACACAAAAAGUA